AAACCCAUUAAAUUCAAUAUUACAAAUAAUGAUAUGAUUAAUUUAGUUAAUUAAAUACCCCAUCACUUUCGAAGACAUUAGAGUUAUGCUAGAGUACAGAUGUUCUUCAGGUUUUCUAAGUUGCAAAAAGAAACACAUGUGAGGCUUUAUAUGAUAAGCCAUUAUAAAUAAACAUAAGGCAUUAGUGGUUGAACAGUACAUUUGCCACAUUUGUCUAUGCAAUCAAACAUCUACGAAAAGAAUAACAAUGAGCAAAGGAUGGAAUAGGAAUACCAUAAAUGCAUAUCUGUAUUAAAUUUAUUUAGCAAUUGUUACUGCAUGACCAUGAAUGUAGUAAAAUGAUAGAUAAUGGUACUUUUCUAAAGCUAGCCAAACAGAAAAAUAGAUAAUUGGGUUGCAAAGGAGCCAUUUUCCCUGAAGAAUAAUAGCUUAAAACUUGGAACAAACUUGCAUUGUUACAACCUGUAGUUGGAAAGGAACGAUGAAUACUAAAACUUCAUAGUUCCUAGCUCCGAAAAAAAACUAAAAGAUAGAUGGAAAAAAGAAAUGCCACAAUAUUACGGAAGUAUUUCCUUUGAAAUAUAUUUUUUCUCAGCUGAAAUUUACCCAAAACUCAAGCACCUUGUGCAUUCCUAUUCCAUUUAACACAGAAAAUUGAGUGCAUUUUAAUGGAGAACUCAUAAAAACCAAGUUCUAUGCAGUAACUAUAAAGUUGUCUUCAGUAACAGUUCUUGUGUUCAAGCUGCAAUGCAUGGAAACGACAAGGGUUGACAUUUCCCCGUUCGGAAACG
rnacentral:misc_RNA from 1 species